rnacentral:rRNA from 1 species
UCCAGACUCCUACGGGAGGCAGCAGUGGGGGAUAUUGCACAAUGGGGGAAACCCUGAUGCAGCGACGCCGCGUGGGUGAAGAAGCGCCUCGGCGCGUAAAGCCCUGUCAGCAGGGAAGAAAAUGACGGUACCUGACUAAGAAGCCCCGGCUAACUACGUGCCAGCAGCCGCGGUAAUACGGAGGGUGCAAGCGUUACUCGGAAUCACUGGGCGUAAAGAGCGCGUAGGCGGGAUAGCAAGUCAGAUGUGAAAACCAUGGGCUCAACCUGUGGCCUGCAUUUGAAACUGUUUUUCUUGAGUACUGGAGAGGCAGACGGAAUUCCUAGUGUAGCGGUGAAAUGCGUAGAUAUUAGGAGGAACACCAGUGGCGAAGGCGGUCUGCUGGACAGCAACUGACGCUGAGGCUCGAAAGCGUGGGGGGCAAACAGGAUUAGAUACCCCCGUAAA